rnacentral:rRNA from 1 species
UACGGAGGAUGCGAGCGUUAUCCGGAUUUAUUGGGUUUAAAGGGAGCGUAGACGGUGCGCCAAGUCUGGAGUGAAAUGCCGCAGCUUAACUGCGGAACUGCUUUGGAAACUGGCGAACUAGAGUGCGGGAGGGGUAAGCGGAAUUCCUAGUGUAGCGGUGAAAUGCGUAGAUAUCAGGAGGAACACCGGUGGCGAAGGCGGCCUGCUGGACAGUAACUGACGUUGAGGCUCGAAAGCGUGGGGAGCAAACAGG